rnacentral:lncRNA from 1 species
GAGAAGAUAAAGGUGAGCAGGGAGCCGCGUGGAGAAAAAGAGGGGGGCCUUUAGUUUCGGUUGGUGGCUCUAACAGGGACAAAAUAUCCCUCAUUGCACUACCGUUACAUCCGAGAUUAAAGGGAUGGAUUUAGUCCUGGUUGGUCUUUACAACCGAGACUAAAGCCCACCCCCCGCGAUGUCCUUCGAUGGCACAUUUUUGACCUGGGACUAAAGGCACUUUAGUCCUGGGUCCAAUGUUAACCAGGACAAAAGCACCUGGAUGGAAGGUCAGUUCUCUACUAGUGGGAGUCCGUUUUCAAUGUUG